AACUCGGCGUUUUUUAACGCCCACGAAAAUAACCAAAAAGGUAAUA
rfam:Parcubacteria bacterium GW2011_GWA2_31_28 TR15_C0013, whole genome shotgun sequence.